GCAGGGGCCCUGCUUUUCGUCGUCUGUCAGACUGAUGGAGACUUCAGCUCGGCACCUGCUCGCAGAGGCAGCACAGAGAGGCAGCGGGACCAUGGCAGAAAGAGGACCCCCAGCUCCAGAUAAAGGAUGUUUCCAUCUCUCCCCACCAGGGACACAGCGGGGCGCUCCCGGGGGACUGGGGCAGACGUCCCAGCCGACUCAGCUGUGAUGCACCCUCUGGUCACAGGAAGAUAGGGACAGUCGGAGGGCCAGUGGCUUAGCGCUGGGGCGCACGGACACCCGGAGCUGCAUUACCUUCCCCGCACGUGUACCGUUUCUCCUCAUAGGAUGUAUCCGUGAACUCCAGGAGCAUGCGGAUGGCGUGCGCCAGCUGAGGGAGAAAGCCCCUCCCGGUCAGCGCCUGCGCGGCGCCCAGUUGACCACAACCCCCGCACGCCAACUGCCCCUUCCAAGGCUGUGGAGGCCGUGCAACCUGCCCAGGCGUAGUUAAGCGGCACGUCCACCACCUUCUCCCCCACCCGCCCGCCCCGAGAUGGGCCAAGGCAGCUUGGUAUCCUCAGCCCUCUCCGGGGCCCGCGAUCCCAGAGGCGGGAUGGGGUCGGCCCCCGUGGUCCUGGAGCUCGGCUGGGGCAGGCUGCUCCGUGGAGAGAGACGCGGGGGCCCUGAGUAGACCCCUUUUCUCAGAGGCCUCUGACUAUGAGACCCCGGCCGCCUCCACGACCGUCUCCCUAACCUAGUGGCUCUGAGGUCGAGACCGCACUCACCCCGCGAAUAUCCCAGUAACCCAGAACCAUGGUCGACUCGGACGACGACAUGAUGAUAUUUCCCCCGUGCAUUCGCGGACUGGCGGUGAACUGCGAACGCACGGGGCUUUAUAGCCCACGUAAGUAGGCGGAGCCAACGCGAGCUCUCUGGCUCCGCCCCCACCCGUCGCCCUUCCCCACAGCGAGUGUCCGAAAGCCGCGCGCGCGCAGUGCACCCUCUACACUUUCUGGGUUUGGAGGCUGGGCAGCGGAGGUGGCUGUUGGGUUUGGGGCUCUGCGCUCCCCCGCGGUGGAGUUGCUCUCACUUGGCUAAUAGUGCCGGUCAGGGCUGGAGGAGCAACAACGCAAGCGGUGAGGGCCCUGGUUAGUCCUGGAAAGUGAGUUUCAUGUCCUGGUUCUCCAGCAGCAGUGGGUGGGUGGGGAGGUAGAGGAGGUGAACAAACCCCAAGAGGUGAUCAAGGAAAUAUUCAACUUUUAAUGUGUGUGGGCUCUGCUCCUGGGCUCCCAGGGCAGCUCUACUUUUACCAAGGUCAGAAUGACUUCACCAAACUUCAAAGUGUGGGCUCUAUUUCUACCCUGAGCACACAUUGCACAUCUAAUUCAUUAGUAAAUAACCCAAAAGAAAUAUUUCAAAGAUAAGAAUAAAAACCUCCCUAAAUUCUGUUCUCAUACCUCCAAAGCCUGCAACCUUGACAUACUAAAAGCAUAAGACAAAGUUUGUGAUUUUCGGCAAUGUGCUUCAUCAUGAUGAUUUGUAACUGUUGAUGUAACAAAAACCCAUAUAUAACCCUGUAUUAAACAUUCCUUCUCAUGGGACACUCUCUUUGUGAGGAUUGUGUGUUCUGGGCAGCUGUCUUCCCUUGGGCUUGAAUAAAACUUUCUUCCUUUUUUAAA